UGCGUAGGCGGUUCGCUAAGUCGGAUGUGAAAACUCUGGGCUCAACCCAGAGCCUGCAUCCAAAACUGGCGGGCUAGAGUUCUGGAGGGGGUAGCGGAAUUCCUGGUGUAGCGGUGAAAUGCGUAGAUAUCAGGAGGAACACCGGUGGCGAAGGCGGCUACCUGGACAGAAACUGACGCUGAGGCACGAAAGCUAGGGGAGCAAACA
rnacentral:rRNA from 1 species